rnacentral:rRNA from 1 species
CGACUCUCGGCAACGGAUAUCUCGGCUCUCGCAUCGAUGAAGAACGUAGCGAAAUGCGAUACAUGGUGUGAAUUGCAGAAUCCCGCGAACCAUCGAGUCUUUGAACGCAAGUUGCGCCCGCGGCCUCCUGGCCAAGGGCACGUCUGCCUGGGCGUCAUGCCUCGCGUCGCUCCGCACGCCUU